rnacentral:lncRNA from 1 species
AAUUAAUUAUUAAAAUGAUAUAAACUAAAAUAAUUCUAAUAAAAAAAGUUAAUAAUAAUAAUAAAGGUUUGGGUGUUACACGCACGACGUAGGGAUAGGUCCGGCACGCGUCUUGUUAUGUGCAGGUAAGCCAUCUGCACGUCACCUCGUGCGCAGACAGGCACCGCACACUAUAUGUGCACCGUCUGCACAGCAAGCCUGCAUGGAUAGGUCUUGUGCGGAUAGGCCCUGCGUGCCUGAGGCCUGCACACAAUAAGCCUGCACGCAGGGCAUGAGGGCUGUGUGUCUACAAAAUAGCUGCAACAUGCCGAGCGUGGCACUACUCCCCGGAUAAUGCACCACUGUUGCCUCGGGUAACGCACUGUCAUUGUCGAUGCAGGAGGCCUUUCUCUCUCAUUUUUCGUGCUGAAUAUCUUUUUCUCCUCUCUUUUCACUGAAUUUUGCCAUUUGACAUGAAUUCGACGGUUCUAAAAUUCUAUAAAUAGGCCUUCCCACCCAUUCUUCCCCACACUUCCAUUCUUCUAUUUUUCUAGACUUAGAGAGAAAAAAGGAGAGAGAGAGAGUAAUCUAGUAAGAGAAGGAGAAAAAAGAAAAUAUGAACGGUGAAGGAGAAAAC